rnacentral:rRNA from 1 species
ACGGGAGGCAGCAGUGGGGAAUAUUGGGCAAUGGGGGAAACCCUGACCCAGCAACGCCGCGUGGAGGAAGAAGGUCUUCGGAUCGUAAACUCCUGUCCUCAAAGACGAGGAGAAGACGGUAUUUGAGGAGGAAGCCCCGGCUAACUACGUGCCAGCAGCCGCGGUAAUACGUAGGGGGCAAGCGUUGUCCGGAAUGAUUGGGCGUAAAGGGCGCGUAGGCGGCCUGUUAAGUCUGGAGUGAAAGUCCUGCUUUUAAGGUGGGAAUUGCUUUGGAUACUGAUGGGCUUGAGUGCAGGAGAGGUAAGUGGAAUUCCCAGUGUAGCGGUGAAAUGCGUAGAUAUUAGGAGGAACACCAGUGGCGAAGGCGGCUUGCUGGACGACAACUGACGCUGAGGCGCGAAAGCGUGGGGAGCAAACAGGAUUAGAUACCCUGGUA